GAUGAACGUUGGCGGCGUGCCUAACACAUGCAAGUCGAACGGAAAUAGCAAUAUUUGAGUGGCGCACGGGUGAGUAACACGUAGCUAAUCUACCUCAAAGCGCGGGAUAACGUGUCGAAAGACAGGCUAAUACCGCAUAAGCUCGCGACCUGUAGAGGGUUGCGAGAAAAGGCGCAAGUCACUUUGAGAUGAGGCUGCGGCCCAUCAGCUAGUUGGGGUGGUAAAAGCACACCAAGGCGACGACGGGUAGGGGACCUGAGAGGGUGACCCCCCACACUGGGACUGAGACACGGCCCAGACUCCUACGGGAGGCAGCAGUGGGGAAUAUUGCUCAAUGGGCGAAAGCCUGAUGCAGCGACGCCGCGUGAGGGAUGACGGCCUUCGGGUUGUAAACCUCUUUCAGCAGGGAAGAAGCGAAAGUGACGGUACCUGCAGAAGAAGCACCGGCUAACUACGUG
rnacentral:rRNA from 1 species